CUCAUCUAUAACAGGAUUCUAAGGAACAAAAUAAACUAACGAACAAAAUAGGACCAGAGGCAUGGGAACAUGGAACAGACCAACAACUGUCAAGGCAGAGGGGAA